GGAGAGGUGGCUGAGUGGUUGAAAGCGGCAGGUUGCUAACCUGUUAUGCGGGGUUAAACCCGUAUCGAGAGUUCGAAUCUCUCCCUCUCCGCCA
rnacentral:tRNA from 1 species